rnacentral:rRNA from 1 species
UACGGGAGGCAGCAGUGGGGAAUAUUGCACAAUGGGCGCAAGCCUGAUGCAGCCAUGCCGCGUGUAUGAAGAAGGCCUUCGGGUUGUAAAGUACUUUCAGUCGUGAGGAAGGUGUUAAGGUUAAUAACCUUAGCAAUUGACGUUAGCGACAGAAGAAGCACCGGCUAACUCCGUGCCAGCAGCCGCGGUAAUACGGAGGGUGCGAGCGUUAAUCGGAAUUACUGGGCGUAAAGGGCACGCAGGCGGUUAAUUAAGUUGGAUGUGAAAUCCCCGGGCUUAAACCCUGGGAAUGGCAUUCAAGACUGGUUAGCUAGAGUCUUGUAGAGGGGGUAGAAUUCCAUGUGUAGCGGUGAAAUGCGUAGAGAUGUGGAGGAAAUACCGGUGGCGAAAGGCGGCCCCUGGACAAAAGACUGACGCUCAUGUGCGAAAAGCGUGGGGGAGCAAAACAGGGAUUAGAU